rnacentral:rRNA from 1 species
GAUGAACGCUGGCGGCGUGCCUAAUACAUGCAAGUCGAGCGAACGGACGAGAAGCUUGCUUUUCUGAUGUUAGCGGCGGACGGGUGAGUAAUACGUGGAUAACCUACCUAUAAGACUGGGAUAACUUCGGGAAACCGGAGCUAAUACCGGAUAAUAUUUUGAACCGCAUGGUUCAAAAGUGAAAGACGGUCUUGCUGCCACUUAUAGAUGGAUCCGCGCUGCAUUAGCUAGUUGGUAAGGUAACGGCUUACCAAGGCAACGAUGCAUAGCCGACCUGAGAGGGUGAUCGGCCACACUGGAACUGAGACACGGUCCAGACUCCUACGGGAGGCAGCAGUAGGGAAUCUUCCGCAAUGGGCGAAAGCCUGACGGAGCAACGCCGCGUGAGUGAUGAAGGUCUUCGGAUCGUAAAACUCUGUUAUUAGGGAAGAACAUAUGUGUAAGUAACUGUGCACAUCUUGACGGUACCUAAUCAGAAAGCCACGGCUAACUACGU